rnacentral:rRNA from 1 species
AUUGAACGCUGGCGGCAUGCCUUACACAUGCAAGUCGAACGGCAGCACGGGAGCAAUCCUGGUGGCGAGUUGGCGAACGGGUGAGUAAUAUAUCGGAACGUGCCCAGUCGUGGGGGAUAACGUAGCGAAAGCUACGCUAAUACCGCAUACGAUCUAUGGAUGAAAGCGGGGGAUCGCAAGACCUCGCGCGAUUGGAGCGGCCGAUAUCAGAUUAGGUAGUUGGUGAGGUAAAGGCUCACCAAGCCGACGAUCUGUAGCUGGACUGAGAGGACGACCAGCCACACUGGAACUGAGACACGGUCCAGACUCCUACGGGAGGCAGCAGUGGGGAAUUUUGGACAAUGGACGCAAGUCUGAUCCAGCCAUUCCGCGUGCAGGAUGAAGGCCCUCGGGUUGUAAACUGCUUUUGUACGGAACGAAAAGGUUUCUAUUAAUACUAGGAGCUCAUGACGGUACCGUAAGAAUAAGCACCGGCUAACUACGUG